rnacentral:rRNA from 1 species
UUGCCUCAGUAACGGCGAGUGAAGCGGCAACAGCUCAAAUUUGAAAUCUGGCUUCGGUCCGAGUUGUAAUUUGUAGAGGAUGCUUCGGCUUACGUACCGGUCUAAGUUCCUUGGAACAGGACGUCACAGAGGGUGAGAAUCCCGUUUGUGGCCGGCACUUCCGCCAUGUGAAGCUCCUUCGACGAGUCGAGUUGUUUGGGAAUGCAGCUCUAAAUGGGAGGUAAAUUUCUUCUAAAGCUAAAUACCGGCCAGAGACCGAUAGCGCACAAGUAGAGUGAUCGAAAGAUGAAAAGCACUUUGGAAAGAGAGUUAAAAAGUACGUGAAAUUGUUGAAAGGGAAGCGCUUGCGACCAGACUUGCCUGCGGAUGCUCAACCGGUCCUUCGGCCGGUGCACUCUUCCGCGGUCAGGCCAGCAUCAGUUCGGGCGGUCGGAUAAAGGCCUUGGGAAUGUGGCUCUCUUCGGGGAGUGUUAUAGCCCUUGGUGCAAUACGGCCCGCCUGGACUGAGGCCCGCGCUUCGGCUAGGAUGCUGGCGUAAUGGUCGUAAGCGGCCCGUCUUGAAACACGGACCAAGGAGUCUAACAUCUAUGCGAGUGUUUGGGUGUCAAACCCGUGCGCGAAAUGAAAGUGAACGGAGGUGGGAACCUUAGGGUGCACCAUCGACCGAUCCUGAUGUCUUCGGAUGGAUUUGAGUAAGAGCAUAGCUGUUGGGACCCGAAAGAUGGUGAACUAUGCCUGAAUAGGGUGAAGCCAGAGGAAACUCUGGUGGAGGCUCGCAGCGGUUCUGACGUGCAAAUCGAUCGUCAAAUUUGGGUAUAGGGGCGAAAGACUAAUCGAACC